rnacentral:rRNA from 1 species
GAUGAACGCUGGCGGCGUGCCUAAUACAUGCAAGUCGAGCGAACGGACGAGAAGCUCGCUUCUCUGAUGUUAGCGGCGGACGGGUGAGUAACACGUGGAUAACCUACCUAUAAGACUGGGAUAACUUCGGGAAACCGGAGCUAAUACCGGAUAAUAUUUUGAACCGCAUGGUUCAAAAGUGAAAGACGGUCUUGCUGUCACUUAUAGAUGGAUCCGCGCUGCAUUAGCUAGUUGGUAAGGUAACGGCUUACCAAGGCAAUGAUGCAUAGCCGACCUGAGAGGGUGAUCGGCCACACUGGAACUGAGACACGGUCCAGACUCCUACGGGAGGCAGCAGUAGGGAAUCUUCCGCAAUGGGCGAAAGCCUGACGGAGCAACGCCGCGUGAGUGAUGAAGGUCUUCGGAUCGUAAAACUCUGUUAUUAGGGAAGAACAUAUGUGUAAGUAACUGUGCACAUCUUGACGGUACCUAAUCAGAAAGCCACGGCUAACUACGUG